rnacentral:pre_miRNA from 1 species
GGGAUUUUGUGGUUUGAGGGCAUUGGGAGUGGGCGGAACGGGCAAAACUCAGUCAGUUCGUUCAUUCGUUAGUGAACCCAUCCAAUCUGAUCGGGUUUUCCCGGCUCCGCCCAUUCCUACAGUCCUCACUACGCAUCCC